CCCUGUUCAUAAGUUGGUCUUGUUGUUAGAAGACUGUAAUGUUUGAAUCUACAAUGCUUUAAAGUGUUGGAAAAUGUUUUAUUUAUUCAUUUUUUGUUUUUGAAUUUUAUACAAAGUAUCUGUUAAGCUACUGUUAUUGUUAUGGAAAAAUUAUUUGUGUUUAUAUGUUCAAUAGUAAAUAAUUUGGUGGGAGUGUAAAGGUGAACUAUUUCUUUAUGUUUAACAACGGCAAAGGUAUACGGGCUUUUAUUUUGAUAGCGUCAUAGCAACCGUAGCCAAGUAGGGAGGCGCAACGGGCGCAACACAGAAGAAGCAAACGGAAAUCUAUUAGAAGUGAAGACGGAGCAAAGGAUAGGCUAUUAGCAGUUCACGGAGAAGAAGACAAAGAAAGUUUGAAGAAUACUUCUGUCUAGCUUCAGUUGAUAAGGGGAACAAGCUCUUACGUUGGUUGGUUGAUGAUACGGACGGCUCAAUAAAUCAUCAUUCACCAUCA